CAGUAGCCGCGGUAAUACGUAGGGUGCAAGCGUUAAUCGGAAUUACUGGGCGUAAAGCGUGCGCAGGCGGUUAUAUAAGACAGAUGUGAAAUCCCCGGGCUCAACCUGGGAACUGCAUUUGUGACUGUAUAGCUAGAGUACGGCAGAGGGGGAUGGAAUUCCGCGUGUAGCAGUGAAAUGCGUAGAUAUGCGGAGUAACACCGAUGGCGAAGGCAAUCCCCUGGGCCUGUACUGACGCUCAUGCACGAAAGCGUGGGGAGCAAACAGGAUUAGAUACCCGCGUAGUCCUGUCUCUUAUACC
rnacentral:rRNA from 1 species